rnacentral:rRNA from 1 species
AGCGAACGCUGGCGGCAGGCUUAACACAUGCAAGUCGAGCGGGCGUAGCAAUACGUCAGCGGCAGACGGGUGAGUAACACGUGGGAACGUACCUUUGGUUCGGAACAACACAGGGAAACUUGUGCUAAUACCGAAUAAGCCCUUACGGGAAGGAUUAUCGCCGAAAGAUCGGCCCGCGUCUGAUUAGCUUGUUGGUGAGGUAACGGCUCACCAAGGCGACGAUCAGUAGCUGGCUGAGAGGAU